UACGUAGGGUGCAAGCGUUGUCCGGAAUUAUUGGGCGUAAAGAGCUCGUAGGCGGUCUGUCACGUCGGCUGUGAAAUCCCGAGGCUCAACCUCGGGUCUGCAGUCGAUACGGGCAAACUAGAGUAUUGCAGGGGAGACUGGAAUUCCUGGUGUAGCGGUGAAAUGCGCAGAUAUCAGGAGGAACACCGGUGGCGAAGGCGGGUCUCUGGGCAAUAACUGACGCUGAGACACGAAAGCGUGGGUAGCAAACAGG
rnacentral:rRNA from 1 species